rnacentral:rRNA from 1 species
UACGGAGGGUGCGAGCGUUGUCCGGAAUCACUGGGCGUAAAGGGCGCGUAGGCGGCUUGGGAAGUCCGUGGUGAAAGCCCGAGGCUCAACUUCGGGUCGGCCAUGGACACUCCUAAGCUCGAGUCGACUAGAGGCUAAUGGAAUUCCGGGUGUAGCGGUGGAAUGCGUAGAGAUCCGGAAGAACACCGGUGGCGAAGGCGGUUAGCUGGGGUCGGACUGACGCUGAGGCGCGACAGCGUGGGGAGCAAACAGG